UAGAAAUAGUAGUAUAGCACUGAAAAACAAAGGGGCAGAUUGCAUUCCUUUAGAAAAGUUUAUGUAAUGAUUUUCUACAGAAGAUCACUAUUAAAGUCUAUGGAGAUUUUUGGAGAUAACUUAUUUGAUAAGCUUUUCUACAGGAUUGUGAUCGACCUCUAAAUUUGAUAACAUGAAUCACUUGGUCUUCCAGUUUGCCUAUUUAUGUAAAAAGCUUAUACUGCUAGAGAUAGCACAGUGUGUUCUAGUUCUCUGGAAGCAAAGCGAACCAGGGAAUGAUUUUAUAUACGGCUGUAUGAGAAGAAUCCAAAACGUUACAAGCUAGGACUAGAAUUAAAGGAGAUUUGGCUCAUGGCUCCCUGAUUCUACUUGUUUGUAAAACUCCCGAUUAGACAGUCCUCACAAUAACUUUGUUUUCUUGUGUUUUAAGGCAAAAGGGAUCUUUUAUUUACCUAAGUUUAUAGAGUAACAGAGACUUUUUAGUGUAGUGAAAUGUCCUGAUUUGCUGGCUAAUUUUACUAUUGGAAAAUAAUUAUAGAUAUUAAAUAAAACACAGCUGUUUUCAACAAGCAUUCCGUAAAUAAUAAAAUGCACUGAUAAAUUAGAGUAGGGGUCGAAAAAUCUGUUUCCAAUUUAGUUGGCAGAAUAUUUAGAAGGCAGUGGUAUUUGUAUAUAGAUAUAUGGAGAAUAACUCAAAAAGUUAGGAGCCAAGGUUAAAAUACUCAGAGCCAGUGGUUCCCAGGCUCCUGGGUUUGUUUAGCCCUGAUUAAAAGAAUUGUGUUACACUAAAAUGGCCCUUUAAAUGGACAAUCUACUCCAGAAUAUGUAUAUAUUUGUUUAAAGCUAGAUAAUCCCUUUAUUACCCAUUCCUCAGUUUUGCAUAACCAACACUAUUAUAUUAAUACUGUAUACUUUUUACCUCUGUGAUUACCUUGCAUCUAAGCCUCUGCAUACUACCUCUUAUUUCCUUUCUUUUGAGAGACUUGCAUUUUAGCCAAUCAGUGCUGAUUCAUAAAUAAAUCCAUAGGAUUGAGCACAGUGUUAUCUAUAUGGCACACAUGAACUAGCGCUGUCUUGCUAUGAAAACCUGUCAAAGAUAAGAGGCAUUUUUCAAGGGCUUAGAGAUUAGCAUAUGAGCCUAUCUAGGCUUAACUUUCAACAAAGAAUAUCAAGCAAAUGUAAAAGUUUAAUAACAAAUAUAAAACACUAUCAGGAAUAAUAAAGAGAAAUGCAACCACUGCAAAAUGUACAGCUACUGCUUAGUAUUGUGCACUGUCAAAUGAAGUGCCUGAUAUAGCUUGUCAAGAAGACAAUAUCACUAAUCUGUGAAUGUGCACCACUUCUGUCACAGGGUGCAAAGGACUUAAAUUCCAAGAUGGCGGUGCCCAGUGUGAUGAUGGAGAAUGUAAAUAAUCAACACUUUCAAAGGGUUAAAAUAAUACAAUGGUUUUAAAGAAAGCUGCAGGAACAGGAGGAAAAAAAUAGCAUGAUGAGUAGUAACCUUGCUACUGUAGCUGUACCCAGCAGUUAAUCAGACAAAUUGCUCCACAAACAGAUAUCGUUUAUAAACCAAAGCAGUUUGUGCGUACCUGGUAGAUCAUAUCUGUUGGUAAUAAUAUGGCGAUUAGCUUUGAUCUGGCCGCGUUUUAUGUUUUAUUGUUGUUAUACAUCUGUUCAGGGAUUAGGAACGGAUCAUUUAUGGAAAAGAUUUCAGGACGAACUGAGUUUAGGCUAAUUGGCUUUUCUAUUAUCAGAGAAUAUCAGAGUUGGCUAAGCUUAUAAUUGUGUAAUGUACCAAGCUAUUUCCCAUAGAGUUUAAUUCUUUUAAAUGAUAAUAGUCUAUUUUUUGCCUAUUGCCGUUUGUUUCUUUUUUUUUUAUUUCACCAGGGGAAGAAGAAAAGCUAUAAUUUUCAGGUUUACAUUAUAGAAAAAGCAAGAAAAGUAAAUACAGGACCCAUGCAUGUGUCCGUAUGUCCUACCUAGACAUUGUUAUCAAAAUAAUUAAAAAAGCGGGUGGAACAGAAAAUUAAGGUAUUUACAAUUGUAUUAUGAACUUCACAAUGGUAUUAAAAAAAAUAAAA